AGAAUCAACGCUGGCGGCGUGCCUAACACAUGCAAGUCGAACGCGAAAGUCCCGCAAGGGAUAAGUAGAGUGGCAAACGGGUGAGUAACACGUGGGUGACCUGCCUUCGAGUGGGGGAUAACGUCCCGAAAGGGACGCUAAUACCGCAUAACAUCCUGCCUUUGAAGAGGUGGAGAUCAAAGCUGGGGACCGCAAGGCCUAGCGCUCAAAGAGGGGCCCGCGCCUGAUUAGCUAGUUGGUGAGGUAACGGCCCACCAAGGCUUCGAUCAGUA
rnacentral:rRNA from 1 species